AAAGGAAUUGACGGGGACCCGCACAAGCAGUGGAGUAUGUGGUUUAAUUCGACGCAACGCGAAGAACCUUACCAAGGCUUGACAUAGUACUGAAUAUGGUGGAAACAUCAUAGUCCUUCGGGACAGUAUUACAGGUGGUGCAUGGUUGUCGUCAGCUCGUGUCGUGAGAUGUUGGGUUAAGUCCCGCAACGAGCGCAACCCCUUUUAUUAGUUGCCAUCAGGUAAAGCUGGGAACUCUAAUGAUACUGCCGGUGAUAAAUCGGAGGAAGGUGGGGAUGACGUCAAAUCAUCAUGCCCCUUAUGUCUUGGGCUACACACGUACUACAAUGGCUAUUACAACAGGAAGCGAAAGAGUAAUCUGGAGCAAAUCCCCAAAGAUAGUCCCAGUUCGGAUUGUGGGCUGCAACUCGCCCACAUGAAGUCGGAAUUGCUAGUAAUCGCAGGUCAGCAUACUGCAGUGAAUACGUUCCCGGGUCUUGUACACACCGCCCGU
rnacentral:rRNA from 1 species